GGGCUCUCUGGCAGCACAUGUAUUAAAAGCAGAAAGAUACAGAGGGGAUUGGCACGACCCCUGAGCAAGGAUGUUGUGCAAAUUUGUAAAGUGCUCCAUAUUCUU
rnacentral:snRNA from 1 species